UCCAUUAUGGCAGAAAUUAGUGCAGUGAAUUUAAGAUUCAUAUAUAAAUAUGAAUAUUUUUUUGGAA
rnacentral:tRNA from 1 species